CUUUUCUUCACAAAAGGGCUUAAUGACAGACAGAAAUAGUCCUCAGCACCUCACCACCCCCUCCCCUCUGUUGAUACCGCAGGUGAAGAAGCCGGAUGUGGAGGUAAUGGGCUGGUGUGGUUACACGCGGGUUGGACAUACUGCCAAAUUCUCUAAAACAACGUUGGUAGAGAAAUGAACAACCAUUCUGGUGGACAUUCCUGAAGUCAUCAUGACAAUUGAACGCUCCCUCAACUUGAGACAUCUGUGGCAUUGGGUUAUGUGACAAAACUGCAACAAAAAAAUAGUCCCCAGUGUCAUGUAUUGGUGUGACGUACUGAUAUGACAUCACCACGUCUGUGCCUCGACACAAUCCUGUCUUGGAGCUCUAUGGACAAUUCCUUCGACCUCAUGGUUUGGUUUUUGCUCUGACAUGCACUGUCAACCGUGGGACCUUACAUAAACAGGAUGUCGGUGGGCGGAGCCGGGAGGGUUGUCAGCGAAAUGGGACACACCUGGGCUCGGGUGUGUCCCGGGAUAAAUACACCUCUUCCCCAUUCUUUGGGGGAGACUCCAUGCAGACACUGAUAGAUUUUGGUUGUUUACUGUGGUACUUUUCAACACCCCUCAUUAUCACAUUUAUGCACGCAAACACUCACUAACACUACUGAUUACCGACUACACACACACCAUUGUUAAUUGUACUUGGUUUACUUUAGUUAAUAAAUAUAUUUUGUUAUUCCUUAUCUCCACGUUGUCACCCU
ensembl:lncRNA